GAACUGAAGAGUUUGAUCAUGGCUCAGAUUGAACGCUGGCGGCAGGCCUAACACAUGCAAGUCGAGCGUGAAAGGUCUUCGGACUGAGUAAAGCGGCGGACGGGUGAGUAAUGCUUGGGAAUCUACCUAGUAGUGGGGGAUAACGUGUGGAAACGCACGCUAAUACCGCAUACGUCCUACGGGAGAAAGCAGGGGACCUUCGGGCCUUGCGCUAUUAGAUGAGCCCAAGUCGGAUUAGCUAGUUGGUAGGGUAAAGGCCUACCAAGGCGACGAUCCGUAGCUGGUCUGAGAGGAUGAUCAGCCACACUGGGACUGAGACACGGCCCAGACUCCUACGGGAGGCAGCAGUGGGGAAUAUUGGACAAUGGGCGAAAGCCUGAUCCAGCCAUGCCGCGUGUGUGAAGAAGGCCUUAGGGUUGUAAAGCACUUU
rnacentral:rRNA from 1 species